GACGAACGCUGGCGGCGUGCUUAACACAUGCAAGUCGAGCGAUGAAGUUCCUUCGGGAACGGAUUAGCGGCGGACGGGUGAGUAACACGUGGGUAACCUGCCUCAUAGAGGGGAAUAGCCUUCCGAAAGGAAGAUUAAUACCGCAUAAGAUUGUAGUACCGCAUGGUACAGCUAUUAAAGGAGCAAUCCGCUAUGAGAUGGACCCGCGUCGCAUUAGCUAGUUGGUGAGGUAACGGCUCACCAAGGUGACGAUGCGUAGCCGACCUGAGAGGGUGAUCGGCCACAUUGGGACUGAGACACGGCCCAGACUCCUACGGGAGGCAGCAGUGGGGAAUAUUGCACAAUGGGGGAAACCCUGAUGCAGCAACGCCGCGUGAGUGAUGACGGUCUUCGGAUUGUAAAACUCUGUCUUCAGGGACGAUAAUGACGGUACCUGAGGAGGAAGCCACGGCUAACUACGUGCCAGCCGCCGCCGUAAAAC
rnacentral:rRNA from 1 species